rnacentral:sRNA from 1 species
CAUACUCUUUAUUCAUUUAAUCCACAACUUUCUGACCAUAUAUAAAAUGCACCCUCGUAUAUAUAUGGAUGCUACGAUCUUUCAGAUCCCUUCGGACAGCCGCUAGCAGGAUUUCGACUUCCGAUGGCUUCCACCCCAAUAUGCGAAUUAGAGGGGCGGACGAAUAUGCGCCGAGCGCCUGGAACAUUUGUAGCUGAUGGUAUCGACCAAGCUCCUUGAGCUUCUCGUUUUUGGGCCAGGGACUGAAAGGUAACUGUGGUUUCGUUAAUCACACACACCAAAACAAGGUGCGAAAGCAGGUGAGGUAUUAAACCAUAAAUACUUCACUUACAAUACGAUGCUCCGCCUUAACAUUCUUGAACCCGACUUUCUUCAUCCGGUCGGCCCAUGUAGACACUUGAGUCAUAGGCUUUCCAAAUUUUUCCGAUGCCUCAAUCACCAGAUCUCUCCAACGACGAAACUCCUUUGCUUUCACUAUCGUCUCAUCGCCAAAAAAGUCCAGCUCGAUUGACUGAAUUUCCAUCCAGCCUUGUGGAUUGAGAUGUUUGUAAGCCUGCUGGAAUAGCUUGUCAUAGUCCUUGACCAUACCUUCCAUCUCACGAGCAUGGAUGAAGUCGAACGGUUGCGCAUACGACCAAGUAGAUUCGAAAUCGUCUACUUCGAACUUGCAGUUUGGCGGGACCCUAACGUUUUCACCGUCCAGUUAGGGAAUUCAAGAACCAAUCGGGAGUGGAGAAAACUCAAGAGUAUCCUAAUGGGAGGGUAUAUAUACCAUGAUGGUUGGAUAGGACUCAAGUCAUUCCCUGGAUUUCACCCCGAAUUAGAAAGCAGAAUACGUUUCACACUCCCUGGAUCUUGGAUACUAACCGAUAACUUCUGUGCCUGGGUGAUCACUGCAGUUAUUCUUCAGUCAGCUAAAUACAACAAUCGAAUUGUCUAAAAUAAGCUGUAUGCUGGGGCAAACAUACUCUGCAAAAUCGAUUGCCCAUAUACCUACGUGCAUCCUCGCCUCCGUCAGCUAUCAUUCAAAACGCGGAAUAGAGGUAACGGAACGAAACGACGUUUGUUGGAUAGGAAUUGAUGAAAGGGAAAAGAGCACCUGUGCCAGUCCCUAAGUCAAGAACCCGCCGCACACUUUCAGGCACUGGGGCUAGGUAAAGGGCGCCGUCCAAAAGCGUUCGGUAUAUGUGGUGGUUCAAAUCCAUACGGUCUUGUUCUUGCUCAUCAUUUGGCUACAGAAAGGCGCAUGUCAUUAACUAGAUGAAAGGUUUACGAUAUUGGCCGAAAGAUCUUCAACUAGAACAUAUUUACCAGAAUAUAUUCUCCUUCUUUAAACGCAUGGUAUCUUCUCCCAUUCUAAAGCGUCAUGUCGAAGGGUCGCGAGAACUGGUUUGAACAAUGAUAUAACAAUGUCGUUGACAUGGGGCAAAGACUUCUGCAAACUCGGAGGUGUUCUAGAGAAUUCAUGCCUCAAGGUUUUCUAGAGGGCACCAACCUCAUAUCUAAUAUAUUGGUUCAGUAUAGUAGUAUGAAGGGUUAUUAUAAUAUAUAGACCACGUACUUGUAGUUCAUAAUACUGGACGUAACUGACGCGGUGUAGCUGGCAUCGCCAAGUCUUUUAAGAGGCAGAGUCAGAAUCUGAUACACUUUCCUAAAGAGAGACCGGAAAACAACAAAUUUAGUGAGGUUUUAUUUAUUUAUUUACUUUUGGUGAUGAUUGGGGGACCAUUUACCUCCGCUUCAAUCAUCCGCGUAUCGAUAAUUGGGUGAUUGGCUGCCAUAGUGAGUUGAAAACCACCUUGUGGACUAAGGACUAGAUAUGACCUGUCACAAAGAUAAUUAUAGCUUUUAUAGGUGAUUCUUUUGUCGC